UGGGGAAUUUUGGACAAUGGGCGAAAGCCUGAUCCAGCAAUGCCGCGUGUGUGAAGAAGGCCUUCGGGUUGUAAAGCACUUUUGUCCGGAAAGAAAUCCUUGGCUCUAAUACAGUCGGGGGAUGACGGUACCGGAAGAAUAAGCACCGGCUAACUACGUGCCAGCAGCCGCGGUAAUACGUAGGGUGCAAGCGUUAAUCGGAAUUACUGGGCGUAAAGCGUGCGCAGGCGGUUUGCUAAGACCGAUGUGAAAUCCCCGGGCUCAACCUGGGAACUGCAUUGGUGACUGGCAGGCUAGAGUAUGGCAGAGGGGGGUAGAAUUCCACGUGUAGCAGUGAAAUGCGUAGAGAUGUGGAGGAAUACCGAUGGCGAAGGCAGCCCCCUGGGCCAAUACUGACGCUCAUGCACGAAAGCGUGGGGAGCAAACAGGAUUAGAUACCCUGGUAGUCCACGCCCUAAAACGAUGUCAACUAGUUGUUGGGGAUUCAUUUCCUUAGUAACGUAGCUAACGCGUGAAGUUGACCGCCUGGGGAGUACGGUCGCAAGAUUAAAACUCGAAUGAAUUGACGGGGUCAUAGCUGUUUCCU
rnacentral:rRNA from 1 species